GCUUGAAAGAACGAAUCGAUGCAGAGGAGCCUAACAGAUCACUCCACUGAUCUCCAGAGUUGCCUGCUAUUCUCAACCCGUCUUCUACCAUCUCAUUUCUUUUCUCUGAUUUAUAAAUUGUGGCUGAUUUGCCAUGAUCCUCUGAUCCCCUCAAUAUGAGCUUGUCCCAAUCCUGAAACCCAGCAUUCAUCAAAUUCUCCACUGUAACAAUUCUGUGUCUUUCGCUGCGCCCAGUCAACAAGAAAACUUUGAAUCCUAGCCUCAUAACAUCUUGAUAAAGCUUCAAACUUGAUCCAAUUGCUA
rnacentral:misc_RNA from 1 species